rnacentral:rRNA from 1 species
GCGUGAGUGAUGAAGGCCUUCGGGUUGUAAAGCUCUUUUGCCAGGGACGAUGAUGACGGUACCUGGAGAAUAAGCCCCGGCUAACUUCGUGCCAGCAGCCGCGGUAAUACGAAGGGGGCAAGCGUUGUUCGGAAUUACUGGGCGUAAAGGGCGCGUAGGCGGUCUUACGAGUCAGGCGUGAAAUUCCCGGGCUUAACCUGGGGGCUGCGCUUGAUACUGUAGGGCUUGAAUUCGGAAGAGGAUGGCGGAAUUCCCAGUGGAGAGGUGAAAUUCGU